rnacentral:hammerhead_ribozyme from 1 species
AUCUAGAUGAUGAGUCCCAAAUAGGACGAAACGCGCAUCCUGGAU